UACGAAGGGGGGCUAGCGUUGUUCGGAAUUACUGGGCGUAAAGCGCACGUAGGCGGAUAUUUAAGUCAGGGGUGAAAUCCCAGAGCUCAACUCUGGAACUGCCUUUGAUACUGGGUAUCUUGAGUAUGGAAGAGGUAAGUGGAAUUGCAAGUGUAGAGGUGAAAUUCGUAGAUAUUCGCAGGAACACCAGUGGCGAAGGCGGCUUACUGGUCCAUAACUGACGCUGAGGUGCGAAAGCGUGGGGGAGCAAACAGG
rnacentral:rRNA from 1 species